GGAAGUGUUUCCGCUUCUUUUUUACAAAAGACAUCUGCAAAAUCAGAGUAGAAUGGAGGUAUAACUGAUUCUUGAGUAGUUUGGAGAAUAGGAAUAUGUUGUAAGCAGGUUUUUUUACAAAAAUCAGAAGAAAAGGAAACGGAGAAGGGUGACCAUUUAAUUAGAGGAUCAUGGGUUUUUAACCAAUUAAUUCCUAGAAUGACAGGAUAAAGUGGAGAUUUAAUAACAUCAAAUGUAAGAAAUUCGGUAUGUACGUUGUUGGUAAUCAUUCUUAGAGGAAUUGUCUCAUCUUUUAUGGGUCCUGAGGAUAUUCUGGAAUUAGAUGUUCUUUUGGUGGAGAGUUCUG